AACGAACGCUGGCGGCAGGCUUAACACAUGCAAGUCGAGCGGGCGCUUUCGGGCGUCAGCGGCGGACGGGUUAGUAACGCGUGGGAACGUGCCCUUUGCUCUGGAAUAGCCCUGGGAAACUGGGGGUAAUACCGGAUGUGCCCUGAGGGGGAAAGAUUUAUCGGCAAGGGAUCGGCCCGCGUCUGAUUAGGUAGUUGGUGGGGUAACGGCCCACCAAGCCGACGAUCGGUAGCUGGUUUGAGAGGAUGAUCAGCAACACUGGGACUGAGACACGGCCCAGACUCCUACGGGAGGCAGCAGUGGGGAAUCUUAGACAACGGGCGCAAGCCUGAUCUAGCCAUGCCGCGUGGGUGAUGAAGGCCUUAGGGUCGUAAAGCCCUUUCGCCGGGGAAGAUAAUGACGGUACCCGGUAAAGAAACCCCGGCUAACUCCGUGCCAGCCGCCGCAGUAAAAC
rnacentral:rRNA from 1 species